rnacentral:rRNA from 1 species
AGGGUUUGAUCCUGGCUCAGGAUGAACGCUGGCGGCGUGCUUAACACAUGCAAGUCGAACGAUGAUCCCCAGCUUGCUGGGGGGAUUAGUGGCGAACGGGUGAGUAACACGUGAGUAACCUGCCCUUAACUCUGGGAUAAGCCUGGGAAACUGGGUCUAAUACCGGAUAUGACUGAUCAUCGCAUGGUGGUUGGUGGAAAGCUUUUUGUGGUUUUGGAUGGACUCGCGGCCUAUCAGCUUGUUGGUGAGGUAAUGGCUUACCAAGGCGACGACGGGUAGCCGGCCUGAGAGGGUGACCGGCCACACUGGGACUGAGACACGGCCCAGACUCCUACGGGAGGCAGCAGUGGGGAAUAUUGCACAAUGGGCGCAAGCCUGAUGCAGCGACGCCGCGUGAGGGAUGACGGCCUUCGGGUUGUAAACCUCUUUCAGUAGGGAAGAAGCGAAAGUGACGGUACCUGCAGAAGAAGCGCCGGCUAACUACGUGCCAGCAGCCGCGGUAAUACGUAGGGCGCAAGCGUUAUCCGGAAUUAUUGGGCGUAAAGAGCUCGUAGGCGGUUUGUCGCGUCUGCCGUGAAAGUCCGGGGCUCAACUCCGGAUCUGCGGUGGGUACGGGCAGACUAGAGUGAUGUAGGGGAGACUGGAAUUCCUGGUGUAGCGGUGAAAUGCGCAGAUAUCAGGAGGAACACCGAUGGCGAAGGCAGGUCUCUGGGCAUUACUGACGCUGAGGAGCGAA